GCUAAUUUAGUUUAAUUGUUUAGAAUACUAAUUUUGUAAAUUAGAGGUAUUUAUUUAGCU
rnacentral:tRNA from 1 species